CCUACGGGUGGCAGCAGUGAGGAUUAUUGGUCAAUGGACGUGAGUCUGAACCAGCCAAGUAGCGUGAAGGAUGACGGCCCUAUGGAUUGUAAACUUCUUUUAUAAGGGAAUAAAACGCGGGACGUGUGCCUUUUUGUAUGUACCUUAUGAAUAAGGAUCGGCUAACUCCGUGCCAGCAGCCGCGGUAAUACGGAGGGUCCGAGCGUUAUCCGGAUUUAUUGGGUUUAAGGGGAGCGUAGGUGGCAUGUUAAGUCAGUUGUGAAAGUUUGCGGCUCAACCGUAUAAUUGCAGUUGAUACUGGCAGUCUUGAGUACAGUUGAGGCAGGCGGAAUUCGUGGUGUAGCGGUGAAAUGCUUAGAUAUCACGCAGAACCCCGAUUGCGAAGGCAGCUUACUAAGCUGUGACUGACAUUGAUGCUCGAAAGUGUGGGUAUCAAACAGGAUUAGAUACCCGUGUAGUC
rnacentral:rRNA from 1 species